rnacentral:rRNA from 1 species
CCCAGAUGGGAUUAGCUAGUAGGUGGGGUAAAGGCUCACCUAGGCGACGAUCCCUAGCUGGUCUGAGAGGAUGACCAGCCACACUGGAACUGAGACACGGUCCAGACUCCUACGGGAGGCAGCAGUGGGGAAUAUUGCACAAUGGGCGCAAGCCUGAUGCAGCCAUGCCGCGUGUAUGAAGAAGGCCUUCGGGUUGUAAAGUACUUUCAGCGGGGAGGAAGGGAGUAAAGUUAAUACCUUUGCUCAUUGACGUUACCCGCAGAAGAAGCACCGGCUAACUCCGUGCCAGCAGCCGCGGUAAUACGGAGGGUGCAAGCGUUAAUCGGAAUUACUGGGCGUAAAGCGCACGCAGGCGGUUUGUUAAGUCAGAUGUGAA